rnacentral:rRNA from 1 species
UACAGAGGUCCCAAGCGUUGUUCGGAUUCACUGGGCGUAAAGGGUGCGUAGGCGGUUGGGUAAGUCUGUCGUGAAAUCUCCGAGCCUAACUCGGAAACUGCGUCGGAUACUAUUCAACUCGAGGAAUGGAGGGGAGACUGGAAUUCUCGGUGUAGCAGUGAAAUGCGUAGAUAUCGAGAGGAACACCAGUGGCGAAGGCGAGCCUCUGGACAUUUCCUGACGCUGAGGCACGAAAGCCAGGGGAGCAAACGGG